rnacentral:rRNA from 1 species
GAUGAACGCUGGCGGCGUGCCUAAUACAUGCAAGUCGAGCGAACAGAUAAGGAGCUUGCUCCUUUGACGUUAGCGGCGGACGGGUGAGUAACACGUGGGUAACCUACCUAUAAGACUGGAAUAACUCCGGGAAACCGGGGCUAAUGCCGGAUAACAUGUUGAACCGCAUGGUUCUACAGUGAAAGGCGGCUUUGCUGUCACUUAUAGAUGGACCCGCGCCGUAUUAGCUAGUUGGUGAGGUAACGGCUCACCAAGGCAACGAUACGUAGCCGACCUGAGAGGGUGAUCGGCCACACUGGAACUGAGACACGGUCCAGACUCCUACGGGAGGCAGCAGUAGGGAGUCUUCCGCAAUGGGCGAAAGCCUGACGGAGCAACGCCGCGUGAGUGAUGAAGGUCUUCGGAUCGUAAAACUCUGUUAUUAGGGAAGAACAAAUGCGUAAGUAACGGUGCGCGUCUUGACGGUACCUUAUCAGAAAGCCACGGCUAACUACGUG